rnacentral:rRNA from 1 species
GAUCAUGGCUCAGGAUGAACGCUGGCGGCGUGCUUAACACAUGCAAGUCGAACGGACGAUGAAAAAGCUUGCUUUUCAAAGUUAGUGGCGGACGGGUGAGUAACGCGUGGGUAACCUGCCUCAUACAGGGAGAUAGCAGCUGGAAACGGCUGAUAAAACCGACAUAAGCGCACAGCAUCGCAUGAUGCAGUGUGAAAAACUACCGGUGGUAGUGAGAUGGACCCGCGU